rnacentral:rRNA from 1 species
UGAGGAAUAUUGGUCAAUGGACGCAAGCCUGAUGCAGCAACGCCGCGUGAACGAUGAAGGUCUUCGGAUCGUAAAGUUCUGUUGCAGGGGAAGAUAAUGACGGUACCCUGUGAGGAAGCCCCGGCUAACUACGUGCCAGCAGCCGCGGUAAUACGUAGGGGGCUAGCGUUAUCCGGAUUUACUGGGCGUAAAGGGUGCGUAGGUGGUCUUUCAAGUCGGUGGUUAAAGGCUACGGCUCAACCGUAGUUAGCCUCCGAAACUGGAAGACUUGAGUGCAGGAGAGGAAAGUGGAAUUCCCAGUGGAGCGGUGAAAUGCGUAGAUAUUGGGAGGAACACCAGUAGCGAAGGCGGCUUUCUGGACUGCAACUGACACUGAGGCACGAAAGCGUGGGUAGCAAACAGG